UACGAAGGGGGCUAGCGUUGUUCGGAAUCACUGGGCGUAAAGCGCACGUAGGCGGAUCUUUAAGUCAGGGGUGAAAUCCCGAGGCUCAACCUCGGAACUGCCUUUGAUACUGGGGAUCUCGAGUCCGGGAGAGGUGAGUGGAACUCCGAGUGUAGAGGUGAAAUUCGUAGAUAUUCGGAAGAACACCAGUGGCGAAGGCGACUCGCUGGACAGACAUUGACGCUGAGGUGCGAAAGCGUGGGGAGCAAACAGG
rnacentral:rRNA from 1 species